CUCCUCCUCCGGCCCCGCUCCGGGCUCGGCCUCUCGGAGCAGCUCCCCCCACAGCCCGGAGUUCCAGGAGGAUUCCGACUCCGGCAGCGACUUUGAGGCCUCUCUGCGCCCCCGGAGCAAGCGGGGACCCCCCCGAGGAGCCCCCAGGAGCCUCGCCCCAAAGCGCUCCCGCCGCUCCGGUGGGGAUGGGAGGGAUCUGGAGCAGAAUUCCCCGGAGCAGAAUUCCCCGGAGCAGAAUUCCCUCUUCGAGGCCGUUUUUUCAGGAAAAGCGGCCACGGAG